rnacentral:rRNA from 1 species
AGUGAACGCUGGCGGAAGGCUUAACACAUGCAAGUCUUUCGCCAGCCUAGUAAGAGCCAGCUCAUACGGGUGGCGAGGGUCGGUCGGGCGUGGAAAACUUCGGCAUCUACCUUUUCGUGGGGGCUAACGUGGGGGAAAUUACGCUAAUACCGCAUACGACCUCAGGUCGAAACUAGGGAAUCUUCGUACCUCGCGCGAUCCAAUGAGCCGAUGUCGGUUUAGCUAGUUGGAGGGGUAAAGGCCCACCAAGGCGACGAUCCGUAGCUGGUCUGAGAGGAUGAUCAGCCACACUGGAACUGAGACACGGUCCAGACUCCUACGGGAGGCAGCAGUGGGGAAUAUUGGACAAUGGGCGCAAGCCUGAUCCAGCCAUACCGCGUGGGUGAAGAAGGCCUUCGGGUUGUAAAGCCCUUUUGUUGGGAAAGAAAAGCAGCAGGUUAAUACCCCGCUGUUCUGACGGUACCCAAAGAAUAAGCACCGGCUAACUUCGUG